GCUUUGUGAGGUCCUUGACUAYAGGAAGCCAUGAGCURUGGGAGGAGCAGGUUCCCACACCCAGAAGAAGAGACGGAGGARAGGCUAACACAAACAGUCCGCCUUUCAGGAAGGAAAAGGCUCCCUUUAGGCCUUUAUCAGAUCUGCGAGCGCCUCAGUCCGCCAGUCGCCRGCCAGCUGCUGUCCCCCCGAGAGGUACGGCURCACCCUGGUCCAAUUUAAUGGUCCCUUUACUCUGAAAUAAUCAGUCAUCAUAAUGCACUACUAAUAUAUCAGGCUAGAUGCUAGGUCACUCCCUUAUUUGGGUCUGAGGACACAGUGCAUACAGAGGUAAAGUGUGGAACUAGUCUGUGAGUUUUGGGACAAAUUUCAAGAAUGCAGGCUAAUGGCAACACUAUCAGAUAGGGCUAGACCGGCAGUGCAAUAUGUGAUGACCUGUGCAUGGUAGGCCUACACCCCCUCACACAUGUUGAGGAAGGUCUGGCCAACAUGAUACAGCAAUGUGGUAACAAUUACUAUAGAAUGAACAAAAUAACAGAUCUGUGGGUAGAGUGUGUGUAAGCUUGGUUUACCACACCACACAUUGAUUCCUUCCCGUUCAGGUCUAAUUUCCUGAUCAAACAAGUUAUUCUAUUCAUAAAAACAAUUCUGAAGGAAAUAAACACAACACGAAACAAAUCCUCAACCCCCUGGUUCCUCAGUCUAGAUCCCCUCUACUCUCUGUWRCCAUGGACCAGUAUGUCUCUCCUGUGGUAUUCGUACACAUUGCYGCCGAACAGGAGCUGCCCUCAGCUGUCUUUUGAUUGCAUAACKCUGCCUCUUUGCUUACCUCAUGGAACAUCUCUGGAGUAACUCAUGGAGACUGAAGACACAAAGAACAGGGACACGUUCACAACAUCUGCUGGCUUCAGCACCUCAUGACUGUGUAUGCCGCUUGGGCAACUCCGAACAUCCACAAACAGAAAGGCUCCAUCCAGACAGAGACGACAGAUGGGAAGGCCCAAGGCCCUCCGGCAGGUUUCUCUACAUAUCCUUUCUCCCCAGCUCUCUCAGGGCGUCUGUCUGCUUCCAGUCCCGUGGAGACGGCCGGACACCCUGGCACCAGGUCUGAAGCUGGGAAAGAUCGCCGGCCCAGAUGUAAACAGGAGAGAGACCCCACCCAUGGGCAUGGGACAGACAGACAAACCUGACAUAUCCUCUCCUGGAAUCACUUCCAAAGAACUCAACAAAAACAUCCCUCAGCUUUUCCUUCAACCCAAUGUCAARGMGCUAUUUUUUGUUUAGUAAUCUUGAAAAUMAAGCUAUAUGGAUUGCAAUGCUGCAAAUGACCUUACCAAUAUUAAUCCAUACCCACAAUGUCAUCUCAUUGCCAAAAUGUACCAUUUCCCAGAAGGAWAUUCUGGCCUCCAAAAAUAAGGUUGWUGUUUGCUAAAGAAAUGCAGGUUGAAAAUGUUCUGCAUAUCAAMCCACAAACAGACAGGCUGYCUGUAUUAKUGCUGAGGCCGCCACACAAGGGCGUAGCCUUUUCCAGAUGCUCAUUUUGGGAAUUUGACCAGAUUAACAAGUGAUGACGAACUGACUGACGUGCAGAGGACUGUCAGAGGACAUGGUUGCUCAAUGAGGACUUUUUACUCAAAGACAGAGAAGGCAUUAGUCUUCUUCAUAAGCUUUCAUGAAAUAUUGUGCUGAUUGUCCUUCAGAAGCCAAAAUAACCCUCUUGUUUUAAAUCAAUGUCCAAAUGGACAGUUAGAUCACGACAUUUUGGUGUGGCUAUGAAAAAUCUUUGUAACCUUUGACAUUGGUCACAAGAACAUUAAAAACGUAUUAAAGGCAUGAAAAUCCAGUUCUGCUAUGAAGUAACAGUGAAUCCUAACUAAGCCUCUGAUGGUAUUUGGAAACAUGAAACCUCUGUUUAAAAGAAAUUCUUACUUUGUUGAAUUAAAACUGCUCUGUCCUUUGUUCUAAAAACCCAUGUCAUCUGUUUGGGGCUUGUCCAUUGUAGACAAUCAUCCUGAUAAAUGACCAGUUGAUCCAGAGGAACAUGAACUCUAAAAACAGAGCUGUUAGAAGUUCAUCAAUUCACAUAGGAUCUAUCUGGUUUUAUCUUUGUUCAAGAAUACAGUCUAAAACUCAUGUAUGCACUCAUAAAAAUGCACCAAUCAAAUCUCAUCUGUUUGUAUUGAAGUGCCUAAUAAACAAAUAUUGAUUACCAACGACA